CGGCCGCCCAUCUCCUAGCAACAGGCUUCUCCUAGGCCCGGUGUAAAGGACUGCUCCCGCUGCACGUUCACCUGGUGCUCAGCCUCAUCUUCAGUGAUUGCUCUCCCGCCGUCAAAGCCACCCUUCACAUUCAGCAGUGCAUCCAAGCUGUUUUCUAAGGCUUGACUGGUUCCUCGGAGUCCAGCAACUACUUUGGAAGCCCAGGUGAAAUAUUCUUCAACUCUUUCCUCUGUCCACCCUGAAUGAUGAUUCAACAGAAGUCAGAGAUACAGCAAAGUAACAGGCCUUUUCGGCCCAAUGAGCCCACAUCACCCAAUUACACCCGCCUGAUCCUCCUAAUCCGUACAUUUUGGAAUGUGGGAGGAAACCAAAGCACCCAGAGGAAUCCCAUGUGGUCAUGGAGAGAACAUACAAACUCCUUACAAGCAGCAGCUGAGUUGAUCCUGGGUCGCUGGCGCUGUAACUGUGCUACACCAACUGCUACUAUAUCAUGAUACUGAAGUUAGAGACGAUUGUGAUACGAUUGACUGUAACUUCCCAGGAUUGAGUCUUACAAUAAAAUGUUACCAAACAAUUCAGCAGCUUGAAAUACAUAAAGUAGUUUCUAUCAGGAUAAUCACAAAUCUUUAGGCUCAGAGGGGAAGUUUGUGUGAGGCACAACUUGCAAGUGCACAGCAGAGACUUCUGGAGUGAAUGGCCUGUUACUCUGCCAAAAUGUCUCUGUAAUUUAUAAGGGGAGCUGUUUGUCAAUGCUGGACAACAGUCUUCCAAAAUUCUUUAAGCAGCCAAGAUGGGCUCAGUGGGAGUAAAAAAACACCUGCA